rnacentral:rRNA from 1 species
CAUAGGUUAAUGAGGCGAACCGGGGGAACUGAAACAUCUAAGUACCCCGAGGAAAAGAAAUCAACCGAGAUUCCCCCAGUAGCGGCGAGCGAACGGGGAGCAGCCCAGAGCCUGAAUCAGUGUGUGUGUUAGUGGAAGCGUCUGGAAAGGCGCGCGAUACAGGGUGACAGCCCCGUACACAAAAAUGCACAUACUGUGAGCUCGAUGAGUAGGGCGGGACACGUGGUAUCCUGUCUGAAUAUGGGGGGACCAUCCUCCAAGGCUAAAUACUCCUGACUGACCGAUAGUGAACCAGUACCGUGAGGGAAAGGCGAAAAGAACCCCGGCGAGGGGAGUGAAAAAGAACCUGAAACCGUGUACGUACAAGCAGUGGGAGCACAGAGCAAUCUGUGUGACUGCGUACCUUUUGUAUAAUGGGUCAGCGACUUAUAUUCUGUAGCAAGGUUAACCGAAUAGGGGAGCCGAAGGGAAACCGAGUCUUAACUGGGCGUUAAGUUGCAGGGUAUAGACCCGAAACCCGGUGAUCUAGCCAUGGGCAGGUUGAAGGUUGGGUAACACUAACUGGAGGACCGAACCGACUAAUGUUGAAAAAUUAGCGGAUGACUUGUGGCUGGGGGUGAAAGGCCAAUCAAACCGGGAGAUAGCUGGUUCUCCCCGAAAGCUAUUUAGGUAGCGCCUCGUGAAUUCAUCUCCGGGGGUAGAGCACUGUUUCGGCAAGGGGGUCAUCCCGACUUACCAACCCGAUGCAAACUGCGAAUACCGGAGAAUGUUAUCACGGGAGACACACGGCGGGUGCUAACGUCCGUCGUGAAGAGGGAAACAACCCAGACCGCCAGCUAAGGUCCCAAAGUCAUGGUUAAGUGGGAAACGAUGUGGGAAGGCCCAGACAGCCAGGAUGUUGGCUUAGAAGCAGCCAUCAUUUAAAGAAAGCGUAAUAGCUCACUGGUCGAGUCGGCCUGCGCGGAAGAUGUAACGGGGCUAAACCAUGCAC